rnacentral:lncRNA from 1 species
GUGUAUGGGUGAGGGUGUGUGUGUGGGAGGUUCUCCCAUACACACACCCUCACCCAUACUCUCUCCCUCACCUUUCCUCCCACCCAACACACCCUUAGUGUGUGUGGAUGAGACUGAUUGUUUGUUUCUGUUUCAGAUUGUGUGGCCGAGGUGAACGUCAGGCUGGUCGAGAACUCCACCAAACAGGUAAAGUACUUAUGACAAUAUAUAAUGUUUAUAUACAAGUAUUUCUGAAUGUUGUCUUAAACUUUUUGUAUUCCAGGUUUGUAUGACUGACUGUGGACCUACAACAAGGUGCUGCCUGGAGGAGAUACUGAGGCAUCGUCACAGGUCUUGGAUGAUAGUGACAGGCAUGGUCACAGGUCUUGGAUGGGUGAUUGAGGCAUCUUCACAGGUCUUGGACGAGUGACUGAUGCAUCGUCACAGGUCUUGGAUUAGUGACUGAUGCAUCGUCACAGGUCUUGGAUUUCUCUACCCUUUAUAUUGUGGACUCCACAAGGUAAAACGGACGGCCAUUCAACAAUUGGUGUCCAGAUUGUCAACAAUUACCACCAGCAAGCAACACCUCCUCCUCUACUCCUGCCUGGCGGCCCUCGCUCCAGCC